rnacentral:rRNA from 1 species
AUUGAACGCUGGCGGCAUGCUUUACACAUGCAAGUCGAACGGUAACAGGGUGCUUGCACCGCUGACGAGUGGCGAACGGGUGAGUAAUGCGUCGGAACGUGCCGAGUAGUGGGGGAUAACGCAGCGAAAGUUGUGCUAAUACCGCAUACGUACUGAGGUAGAAAGUGGGGGACCUUCGGGCCUCACGCUAUUCGAGCGGCCGACGUCUGAUUAGCUAGUAGGUGAGGUAAAGGCUCACCUAGGCGACGAUCAGUAGCGGGUCUGAGAGGAUGAUCCGCCACACUGGGACUGAGACACGGCCCAGACUCCUACGGGAGGCAGCAGUGGGGAAUUUUGGACAAUGGGGGCAACCCUGAUCCAGCCAUGCCGCGUGCGGGAAGAAGGCCUUCGGGUUGUAAACCGCUUUUGUCGGGGAAGAAACGGUCUGCGCUAAUACCGCGGACUAAUGACGGUACCCGAAGAAUAAGCACCGGCUAACUACGUGCCAGCCGCCGCCGUAA